UUAACUGGGUGUCGACAACUGUUGUGAUUGCUUCAUCUGAGUUUUUGCCGCUGAAUUUUCCUCGGACUUCUGCUGCAUCUGGGCUGCAAGUUCUGGAUAAUAAUUAUUAUGUCUUGGAUCUGCCCGGGAACCAGGAGAUCGUGAGCUCAGGGGAACAGGAGUCAACACCAGAGGAUUGCAGGAGAAUUUCUAGCAAACAACAGGUCACCGUAGCCACCCAGACCCAGUCCGUAUCCAGCCCAGAUGGUGGAUCAGGACCUAGAGACGCCCUCUACAGCCCUGAAUGUCAGUGGAGACCAUGACAACUAUGAGCCCCAGAGACAGAUCCCGAGUGAAGACCUUGUCUCCUAGACGGCCAUUGGGACAAGACCACGGGAACCAGAUGAGUCCUCUGCAAAAUCUAACUUUGCUGCAGCAUGGAACAACCUGCUGGUUCGUCUGACCAGAACUGGCCCCCUGACUGAACCUGGUUUCUCCCAAGGUUUUUUUCUCCAUUCUGUCACUGAUGGGAGUUUUGGUUCCUUACUGCUGUCGCCUGUGGCUUGUUUAGUUGGGGACACUUAAUUUCCAGCGAUAUCAUCAACUUGAUUGCACAAAUACUAUAUAAACUGAACUGAGCUGGAUGAUGACAUCAGUGAAUUCAACGAUGAACUGCUUUUAACUGAAAAUUGAGUGUUUACUAUUGCCCUUUUGCAUUAUUGACAUUAUUUUCCUAUUUAAUACUGUAAAGCUGCUUUGACACAAUCUGUAUUGGUAAAAGCGCUAUAUAAAUAAAGGUGACUUGACUUGACUUGCCCUAGGACUGUGCCAGCAUGGGACUUGUCUAUAGUCCUGAGGGUCCCCAAGGGUCCUCCCUUUGAGCCUGCUUCAAACAGUUGGCUUAAGGGUCAUGAUGCUCAAAACCACUCUGCUUUUGGCCCUAGCAUCUGUCAAGUGAGUAGGUGACUUGCAAGCCCUGUCUGUCAGUGCUUCCUGUCUUGAGUUUGGACCCAAUGACUGUAAAGUCGUUCUUCAACCUCGCAGCAGUUACGUACCGAAGGUGCUCUCAACACCGUUUAGAGCCCAGGUCAUUUCCCUUUUAGUCCUCCCUGGAACGGAUGGCGAACAGGGUCCCAACUUGUUGUACCCUGUCCAGGCACUACGAGUUUACAUUGAGCACUCUGAGUCUUUUAGACAAACGGAGCAGCUUUUUGUGUGCUUUGGAGGCUGCUCUAAAGGGCUGCCGGUCACAAAGCAAAGACUAUCUCAUUGGAUAGUAGAUUCUAUAGCCCUGGCUUAUGCCUCAGCUGGCUUGCAAUGCCCUAUAGGUGUGAGGGCCCAUUUCACCAGAGGAAUGGCCUCGUCUUGGGCCUGGUGUAAUCUUUAUUGGGGAGAUUUGUGCGGCUGCCGGCUGGUCAUUGCCAUCUACCUUUAUUAGAUACUACAAUUUGGACGUCCCUGGGGUCUUGUCUGCUUAACAUUCACUCAUCCCCCCCCACACCAAGCUGACUUCAAAGAACUAGCGGCGACGAAAGCUGACGGUGUUGUCACCUCGCGUUGGCAGCCUCGGACCAAAAAGCUGCACUCAAACACACCGCACAGACUACAGCCAAUGGCAAACUAACACGUGCGUCUUGCGCAUGCGUGAGAGGAAUUAACUGUCUAUAUCAGCAGCUAUCAAUAGUAUAUAUUCGUCAUUCAAAAGGAGAAACUGAAACAAAGAUAUACAAGAUAAACGCAGAUAAACAUGUUGAAUCGGGAAAACUGCUGCCGACGUGAACCCGAUGAGAGCCAACGAGUGGAACACACCAAACAAACUAGCCCAACCGUUGCUCGCCAUCAGCCCAAUGUUGGCCGAUGGCAGACCGUUGGCUUGGUGUGUCCCAGCCUUUAUGUUAAGUAGACCUCAGAAUGUUUUUGGGUCUCUGUGUGGCUCAGGUUUAUGGAGCCCACACUGAGUGUUCCUGGGCUGAGCUUGCAGGGCAGGCUUAGUUCUGCAUCUGCUUAUAGCAUGGCGCUACUGGAUGCUUUCCCCAUACAGUCGUCAGUGACGACACAACGGGAGUUACCUUUCGAUAGGGAAUGCCUGAGAUAAGGGAACGAGCGUUUUGUGUAACUAGCCGUGCUAUAGCUGCAUGCAAAUCAUUUCAGUCGUUGAUUCUGAUGAAAUGGCGCUCCGAGCCGACUUGUAUAGCAAUCGGCUCCGCCCCCUCUGGCAGGCUCGAGCGCCAUUGGUUUAUGCUGCUACACAAACGUUAACAAAUCAGGCUUCAGUAACAGAUUAACAGGAGUUUCCCCAUACAGUCAUCAAUGACGACGCAACACUCAUUCUCUUAUCUCAGGGAACCAAGGUUACGUGAGUGACCGGAGCGUUAUUCUAGGAUUUCCUGCUGAAAGCUUUGACCGUUUAGUUGUUCUCUGGUUUACUUGGGGUACAACCCAUUCUGCGAAUUAAGUUUUCAUCUAGAGAAAAUACAUUGCAACGGACACAGAGCUGAUUGAGCAAUAUAUUAAUAUUUAACAACAUGUACAUUUAGGUUUCAGGUUUAGUGUUGGAUGUAACCACAUAUUAGCCUACGAGCAUCUUUAGCUAUCACUUAUGAAAAUUAACCAUGGUUUUAGGCCCACUACAAAUAAAACCAAAAAACAUGGUUACUAUAGUUAAACUACGGCAACCACAAGUUAACCAUGGUUUUGCCACGCUAACCAUAUUGUAACCAUGGUAUUUGUGCUAAAAUGUUAAUGAUUAACAUUUGUGGUUAUACAAAUGGUAAUCAAUAUUCCAGUGGUUAAUUCAAAUGGUAAUGGUUCAAACAAAAACAGGUUUUUGAACAUUGAUGGUUGUGCACAGUCUUAGAUUUUUGAUAUGUUUACUUUUUUUGUCAUUGUACUUUUUUUUUUUAAUUGUAUUUCAAAAGCCUAACCAGGGAUUGGGGUUG